rnacentral:tRNA from 3 species
GGUAGCUCAGGCGGUAGAGCAACUGACUUUUAAUCAGUGGGUCGAAGGUUCGAUUCCUUUCCG